GAAAACGCAAAGAAUAGGAGUAGUAAAAGCUCAUUAUUGGAUGGAGAGAGCUGCGGGUUGGUGCAACGCAGUCCAAUAAGACUUUGAACUUGCCUAGGAGUGGUAAAGUAAAUAGAAUUGAUAGACUAUUCUAUUUACUUUAACGAUUAACCUUCGUUACCAGGUUUUUAAGUAGGGUUCAUGAAGAACCAAUUAGAGUGGUACCGCGGUUUGCUUAAGGCAUAUCGUCUCUUCC
rfam:Bacillus sp. FJAT-27997 Scaffold2, whole genome shotgun sequence.